CGGUUAAGACUUGAAGGUUUUAGAUAAUUUCGAAACAUGAUUUGUUUUUCCCCCGAUUGUGCGGCGUGAAAAUGUGAUCUCUGACCGCGAAAGUGGAGGUCAUUAUCCCUUAUCGUGACACGGUCAAUAUUAUCGACCCUGAGAACAUGGUGCAAGGGACUGCGACUCGCGUGCGACAGUUCCUAUGGAAACCCGCGAUCGAAUUCGUACCCCCUCCGUCGAUCGGAUUACUUCGGUACCCAGAGGUUGCUAUUACGCGCAAUCUUCGCAGUAGCACAAAUAUUGAUGCGGCGAGAGGUCGUGGAACCACGCGAGUCUGAAGAACUGCUGUGUUCUAAGAACGAGAUUUCACCGUCGGAGGAAUUCUGUUUUUUCAUUAUCGACAAGAAACACCAUUCUUGUGACUUUGACUUCUCCGAAGAUUUUUUCGAGUCUCCGGCUUUGUAAAAAUCCCUGAGACGAUGGAACGUUUCCCUCAUGGAAGGAAGUCUGUUAACCGUUGAAACGAGAUCGAUUAGUCGUUAAAAAUGGAUCGUGAUUCAUCAGCAGGGGGGAAAAUGCUUCAGUUCGCGAAGUCCUUAAUUCUAACCGAUUUGAUAGUAGCUAAAAUAAUUAUUGCGCUCGCGGUAUCGAGAAAGAAUUGAAAUUUUCGGCGAUUGUAUUUUACGUCAUCUUGAUCUUGAAAAACGAUGUAGAAUUAUAUAUCUUUAGUUAAAAAAUCAUCAGGUGUGGGAUAAAGAAAUUAUUUUCUAAAAUAUUGACUACAAAUAUUGCACAAAAUUUUACACGCUCAACAAUAAAAUAACAGAAUUCUCAUUUCGACAAAUUUAAUUAAUAAGUCAUAGUCAAUAACAAUGAAGUCUUGAUUUAAAAGUUGAAUUUUGAUAUGAUUAAAUUUGUUCUAUGAAGAAAAGUGCGAUAAAAAGCGACAUUAAAACUUCAAGUUUUGCAUGGUGCGUCUCUUUGUUGUUAGUAGUUUCGAUACUCGACUUUUUCGGAUAUUGAGAAGCGUUUUAGAUCGCAAUGUGAUUUCAUACAAAAAUUUUACAAUUAGGAAUAUCGAUCUCGGAAGUAUGUACGAGCGAAUUUAUAGAAACGGUUCGGUGAACGCAAGACACGGGGAGUUCCGUCGAGUAGUUCCCAGUUGCUGAUGGAAUUUUCCAUUGACCGUCGGUGAUUCCUCGAGUAGGUAGGCAGUCGACGAUAUCUAUGAUUAUGAGUUUAGUUUAGGGGAUUUAGUUUAGUUCCUCUUUCGCCUUUUUCGAUCGUCCGUCGUCACUGCCGCGCUUGUUCAUUACGUCUUCCCACGGGAAUCGCGUGCGAGGAUGACCGGAAGGACAUCGCUAGUAGAACAGAAGAGACUCCAGUGGGCGAGAGAAAGAGAAGAAAUGGCUCGUCUUGGUGUUAAUUGGGGAAAUCUAAAGCCAAAUAGCAAUUACGACCGCACCCACAUCCGUACUUACUCGAAUGAAGCCAGAUUAUCCUUGGAGGAAAUAAGGGAUAGGCCUUCCAUGCAAUCCUCCCGUACGGGACGUUAUGGAAGCACCAGUCUUAAGAAUCUGGCGAUGGAAAGUUCUGAAAGUGGCAGCAACAAUCUGAAAUGCCUUGAUUUUAACGGCGGUAGUUUAAUUAAUCUUCAGGACCAAGUGGAGACUUCGCAACUUAGACGCAGGAGUCCCAGUCUGCCUCCGAUUUUCAACAAGGAGCAACAGCAAUAUUUCUGUCAGCUGCAACAACAACCGCAUGAAUUUGGCGUAGAGGGAUCGCGAUACCAGUCACAGAGAUCGCAAAAAUUGGAACACUGCCGUUAUCGAUCCAACGAGCAUCGCAACAACCAAAAAGAGGCGCGACAACACGGUUCGGCGGGUGAGGAGCGUGAGGGGGAAACUUCUGGUUACGCUAGUGAUUCCGUGGAUGUGCCUCAAACACGGCAAAAAGCUUUGCCUGACAAAGCAGCAUCCAGAAUGGAAAUGACGGAGAAAACGUGGCAAAAUCCUUACUGCCCUACUCCGGAAAGUUCACUGCCACCGUCGAGAAGGCUUUCGCCAGGCAGAAUGGGUGAACUCAACAGGCCAAGAUGGGGUAGCGUUUGGGCUCAAGACUCAGCGAAGGGCGAUCCACCGCCGCCUUCUUGGCUGUCAAGAUUAGGACAGUCAAGUCAAGUUUUAGUAAUUAAUCACGACAGCGCCAGUAGCCCGGAUAGUUCAACGACUGAUUCAACUGGCUCCGACGUCAACAAGAUAUCUUAUCUUCGAGGUCAGAAUAUUCCAAUGGACGCGGAGAUCCUUCAGGAGCGGGAAAUGAGACGGCAGAAGGCGUUGGAGCUUCAAAAUGCCAUCAAGCAACAGCUCGAAGAGAAAGAUAGGCAGAGAAAAGAGGAAAAGGAGCGGCGAAUGAGAGAAGAAAUGUUGGAGGAUGAACGAAUCCGGCGAGAGAGAGAAAGAGACAAAGAAAGAUUCGAGAAGGAAAAGCGAAUGACACGCGAGAAAGAGGAGGCGAAGCUAAGAAAGGCACAAGCGAUGCGUGAGGUACUCCAAGCUGCGGAGCAACUGGCGAAGGAAGAGAAAAAGAAUCGAUGGAAACGAGAAGAGCACUUUAAUAGGGACACCGACGUGGUGACGCAGUCUUCCAAUAACUCGAACACAAACAUAAAUGACAAAUGCGAAGAACAAAAUUAUUCUCAAGUGCAGAAACAAAUCUCGGAAAGCGCAAGCUCAAUCAAUUAUCCCGAGGAGAAGUUUAGUCCAAAGAACGUCAAAGAAGCCGAAAAUUAUCGAAAGAACGAGAACAACAAAGAUUCGAGGGAAGUUUGUUCACAAACAGAGAAUUACGUGGACAAGUCGGAGAAGACUACGCAGCAGGAUCUAAACCCGAGAUCCCUUCAGGUUCCCGUGAGCAAAGACGUGGCAAUCGUGUUGAGCGGCCGGUUGGAGGACUCGGAGAUUCUAAGUAAAACAAAUCUGCAGCUGGUAAACUUGGUAAUGACACCGAGUCCGCGCCGAUUCGCAGAGAACACCGCGGACUACUUCUCGCUGGGGUUCAACACGAUUGUGAUGAACAACGGAAGCCCUAGGAAUCCGAGAAGGUCCGCGAAGGAUGCUUCGUCGACCGUUGUGGAGAACAGACUGUUGACGCCGAGCAAAUACAGAAUGCCGACUGGCCGAGAUUUCGGCACACAGACGGACGUGGAAUCCGAUGUCCAGGAACUGCGCGAGAAGCUGCAGGAUCAGUUGAUCAGAGACCAAGGUACUACAAAGGACCGGAAGGACACGACAAACGCCAACAGAAGAAACGUUGAAAAAUCGAAUAAUGUGGGUCCCGGUGAAGAAAUCCCUAUAAAAACUUUACCGCGAUCUAAAUCGCAGCCCAGAACUACGCUCGAUAGUAGACCGCGAUGGAAUGCUAACCGUCCAGGUACACGAUAUCGAACGCAAAGCGAGAAAGAUCCGCAUUAUCAGAGACGACUGCGUUUAAGAAGACGACAAAUCGAGUCCAGCGAUGAAGGAUCUAGAUCUCCGUCCCCCGACCGGCGGAAAUCAAAUAACGGAAAGUCGAAGAAUCGAAAUACCAUGAGGCGUACAGCGAAACCUGAGAAUUAUGACGCCGAUCUGUCAAUGGAUAGUCUAAAUUCUGUUGUGCCCCUACGGAUCGACAAAGAUGGAAAAAUUAAUGUCGAGGAGCAUACUGAAAAAUUACGAUCAAAAAAUGCGAAUCACUCAAAACGAGCAAACGAUGAUAGCUCUAAUGUCUGGUGCGGACAAGAAAUCUUGUCGACAUUAUCAUCAUUGAAAAGCGGACUUCUAAUGAAGCAGAUCGAGUGGGACUCUGAGCGAUGCCUGGUCUCGCCCAUUGCAUCCGAAACCUUUUAACUGCAAGAUUUCCUAUCCGUCAGAACCAUCAUUUUGUUUUUUUUUGUUUGCGUAGAAAAUUUAAAUAAUGGCUUUUCAACUAGACGAUCUACUGAAGGACGACAAGAAAGAUGCAAAUUUGAUACCCGAUUUAAGUAAAACGACUUGCAAUUCUUACGAGGAAUUCCGACGACUCAA